CUGUUCAUUUGAGUUACUCAUAAAGGGUAACGUUUGGAGACUUAGGGCUCUGUUCAUUUGGGUUACUCAUAAAGGGUAACGUUUGGAGACUUAGGGCUCUGUUCAUUUGGGUUACUCAUAAAGGGUAACCUUUGGAGACUUAGGGCUCUGUUCAUUUGGGUUACUCAUAAAGGGUAACGUUUGGAGACUUAGGGCUCUGUUCAUUUGGGUUACUCAUAAAGGGUAACGUUUGGAUACUUAGGGCUCUGUUCAUUUGGGUUACUCAUAAAGGGUAACGUUUGGAGACUUAGGGCUCUGUUCAUUUGGGUUACUCAUAAAGGGUAACGUUUGGAGACUUAGGGCUCUGUUCAUUUGGGUUACUCAUAAAGGGUAAUAUUU
rnacentral:lncRNA from 1 species